GUCCCUGUAGCGCAAUGGAUGGCGUGUUGGACUUCUAAUCCAAAGGUCAUGGGUUCGAAUCCCACCUGGGAUG
rnacentral:tRNA from 1 species